AAAUACAAACAUGCUAAAUACUUUAUAUUUUUAUAUAUAAAUAACCAGGUGAAAAAGAAGACAACCUUCCAAUUGUGAAACUGGUUAUUAAAGCGCUUAAUUAAUUGUAUUUUCCAUGCAGUGUGCACAGAUGUCCUUCUCAUCUAGGGAUAAAAUGUUCCGCUGGCCCUUUAAGAAGCAGGAAUGUGAGUUCCCGUUCUGCCCAGGAGUAUCGCGAGAGUUCACCUGCGAGCAGCGCGAUUUACAACGCGAUUCAGGUGCUUCUUAUGAAGUGUGAGAACCGGGAAGUUCUUGUGCAUGAAGCAAGACUUUAAGUUUAAAAUCACAGUGGAGCCACUGAGCAGUGAGACUAAGCAUACUCGUCAGGCUUACAGCUGAAGACCAAACAUCUGUGGUGAAGUUCAUCGCGGAGUGGUUAUGAAGAAGCUCGUGAAUAUGAUCUGCCAUACGGUUGUAUAACUCCGACUGGAGGCAAACAAGACCUUGUCUGUAAACACUACAGCAAAAUUAAAGAAGGGACCGAAGCACUUACACGUUGUACUCAACGACACUGAGUGGAAUUGGC